AGACAUGCUGGGAGAAUUCCGAAAACAAAGUGAAAUGGUUUAUGAAAUAUCUUUUUCUUAUUUGUUCUCCCAAUGUUUGCUGUGAAAACUCUGUC